UACGUAGGGGGCAAGCGUUGUCCGGAUUUAUUGGGCGUAAAGAGCGUGUAGGCGGCUGGGUAGGUCCGUUGUGAAAACUCGAGGCUCAACCUCGAGACGCCGAUGGAAACCCUCCAGCUAGAGUCCGGAAGAGGAGAGUGGAAUACUUGGUGUAGCAGUGAAAUGCGUAGAUAUCAAGUGGAACACCAGUGGCGAAGGCGAGUCUCUGGACAUUAACUGACGCUGAGGCACGAAAGCCAGGGGAGCAAACGGG
rnacentral:rRNA from 1 species